rnacentral:tRNA from 1 species
GUGCCUUUGUCGGAAUGGGUCUUGAUUUUCUAAUGAGAUCAUACGCCUCUUAAUCAGCGGGUCCCAGGUUCGAGCCCUGGUGCGCCCACCA